UUUGCUGGCGACCGGCGCACGGGUGAGUAACACGUAUCCAACCUGCCCUUACUCGGGGAUAGCCUUUCGAAAGAAAGAUUAAUACCCGAUAGCAUAAUGAUUCCGCAUGGUUUCAUUAUUAAAGGAUUCCGGUAAAGGAUGGGGAUGCGUUCCAUUAGGUUGUUGGUGAGGUAACGGCUCACCAAGCCUUCGAUGGAUAGGGGUUCUGAGAGGAAGGUCCCCCACAUUGGAACUGAGACACGGUCCAA
rnacentral:rRNA from 1 species